rnacentral:rRNA from 1 species
AAAUCAGGCAGGACUACCCGCUGAACUUAAGCAUAUCAAUAAGCGGAGGAAAAGAAACUAACAAGGAUUCCCCUAGUAACUGCGAGUGAACCGGGAAAAGCUCAAAUUUUGAAUCCGGCGGUCUCCG